AGUGAACGCUGGCGGUAGGCCUAACACAUGCAAGUCGAACGGCAGCACAGUAAGAGCUUGCUCUUACGGGUGGCGAGUGGCGGACGGGUGAGGAAUACAUCGGAAUCUACUUUUUCGUGGGGGAUAACGUAGGGAAACUUACGCUAAUACCGCAUACGACCUACGGGUGAAAGCAGGGGAUCUUCGGACCUUGCGCGAUUGAAUGAGCCGAUGUCGGAUUAGCUAGUUGGCGGGGUAAAGGCACACCAAGGCGACGAUCCGUAGCUGGUCUGAGAGGAUGAUCGGCCACACUGGAACUGAGACACGGUCCAGACUCCUACGGGAGGCAGCAGUGGGGAAUAUUGGGCAAUGGGCGAAAGCCUGAUCGAGCAAUACCGCGUGAGUGAAGAAGGCCUUCGGGUUGUAAAGCCCUUUUGUUGGGGAAGAAAAGCAGCAUGUUAAUCCCCCGCUGUUCUGACGGUACCCAAACAGUAAGCCCCGGCUAACUUCGUG
rnacentral:rRNA from 1 species